rnacentral:lncRNA from 1 species
UAUUACAGGUCACUAGUGGAGGUAGAACCGGUUAGUUCACAUUUGUCCUAAUUCCCUGUUUAUUUUUCUCUACUGCCUGUAUUUGCUUACUAUUAUACUAUGCGUAAUUGAAUUGAUGGUUUUUAUGGUCUUUUAAAUUAUUUGGUUAUUUAAUUCCUCCUGUAUUGUUUGUUCGAUAUUCUGGUUAUUUGGAUAUUUGACUAUGCUAAACUAUAUCACUUGCUUAAGUGCCAUUUGAAUUAAUUUGU